rnacentral:lncRNA from 1 species
GCUUUGCGUGUGAGUGUCAGAGGGAAGGCUGCUGGAACUGCUCAUACAGCUGCUGAACACUUGGAGGUCAGCCACAGUCACCUACACAGAAUCUGACAUCUAGGAUCCAGAGCAAGACGACCAACUCAGGGAGAACAAACACAACGGGAAGACGAAGAAGUCAGGACUGAGAGGGAGCAGGAGCCUGGUGCUGAGGCUGGUAUGAGAGAAGAAGGCUGUCAAGCUGUCUGGGUGUGA